CGUUUAUGUCGCAACUUUUAACUUUUACAUCAUUAGAUUUCGUCAUCCAUUGUGUCAUAGGUGAAUCGGCUAAUAACUAUUUUAGAGUCAGUUCCAACGAUUUGCGAAGCUUGUCAGCUGUUCAUAAUAAAGCACUUGUACGUCAAUUGACGUUGUUGUUACCAUGGAAACUCGCCAUGGCAACCUACGUCAUACAGGAUUCGUUAGGACCUAUCGUUGGUGCCAAUCGGCUCUUGCGUUUGGAAGCUUGUAAAAAUAUUUACGAAAAUUAAAUUAAUAUCUUCGCUGUACACUUUAUUAUUAUACAUAUACAUAUAUGCACACAUCAUUUCGAAAUUGUACUCCGAAAACACCAACGACUAACCGUUGCGUUUCGUGCGCUCAGAACCAUAUGUAUUAAGCUGCUUCAGCAUUAGCCGAACUAUCUAUUUCGAUUCCUUUCGGCUUCUUUCGUUUCUAAUCUACGAUAACACUGGUUAUUUUUGCAGAGCAUUCAUCGACCGGCGAUCGGCAGCGAGCAAGAAUAGAACAGCAUCAAUCUAUUUUUAGUGCAGCUACAUUGGCUUAUAUUAUUAUUAUUCUCGAUAGCGAACUGGCAGCGUUCGCGUGAUUGUUUUGUUCCUAUGGAAAAGUGUAAGAGUCGAUGACUUAACUGAGCGUUGUGAGGUACAGGCAGCAUCAAACUAUUCAUAUUUUAAAAUGUCCAGCUGGCUACGGACCUGGGUACUUAGUGUUUUUACAGCAGUUUUGGAGUGAAAACAACUGACUAGAUGUCUAGAUGACUACAGGUCAUGUGGAUAUCACCAGUAUGGCGAAAUGUGCUGGAACGAAAUCUUCGUGCUGGAGAGUGGCAGUCAUCUUAUAAACAAAACACCUGACAGUAAUUCGCGGAUACAUAUAACUUCUUUUGAACUUUGCCUUGUACAGAGAUACAAGGUUGAUUACGCUCAAAGUUUUCUUGUUUCAGGCAAAAUAAAAUAGACACUUGUAUUGUUAUUAGACUCUCCAACAUGAAAGUAGUAGUAGUAAUA